AGCGGAUGAGCCUCAGCAGUCCUCGCCAUUGGUGUGUCCCAGGGAACAGACGCAUGGACAAUCUCUGUGCAUACCUGUGGCAGUGGCCACACCUCAGCUCUGAAGUCUCUCAGCAGCAGGCCCUGUGAUUGGUGCAGGUCCCUUGCAAGGCUGCAUUCCUGGACAAUGUCCAUUGUCCUCAGCAGGCCCUGUGUCUGGUGCAGUUCACUCGGAAGGCUGCAUGGCUGGCAGAUGUCUGCCAUCCGCAGCAGGCUCUGUGACUGGUGCAGUUUAUUGGGAAGGCUGCGUUGCUGGCGGAUAUCUGUGAUCCGCAGCAGGACUGGUGCAGGUCACUCGGAAGGCUGUGGGGCUGGCUGAUGUCCGUGAUCCUCGGUAGAACUGGUGUAGGACAC